CCUGAGGCCUCCUUGGCUCUUAGAUAGCUGCCCUUUCACUUUGUUCUCAUAUAGGAGUUCUUCUAUGUUGUCCGUGUCCUAAUCUCCUCUUCACAUAAGGACACUAGUCAUUUUGUAUUAAGGCUCACCCCAACAACCCCAUUUCAACAUAAUUGCCUUUUUAAAAGCCCCAUGUCCAAAUGCAAUCACAUUCUGAGAUACUGGCAUGAGAACUUUAACAUGAAGUUGGGGAGGACAGAUUCAGUCCUAACAACUCUGGCCUCUGGUCCCCCAAAAUUCUUGUCCUUCUCAUAUGCAAAAUACACGCACCCCGUCUGAACAGCCCCUUAAGUCUUAACCCAUUCCAGCAUCAACUCUAAAUCCAAAACCUCAUCUGAAUAUCUUUGAAAUGGGGUAUGAAUGAGACUUGAGGUACUAUUCAUCCUGAGGCAAAAUUCCUCUGUGGUUGCGAACCUGUGAAACAAGUUAACUACUUCCAAAAAAACAAUGUUGGGACAUCAUAGGACUGACACUACCAUUCAAAAGAGAAAAAAUGGAAAGAAGAAAGGGGUUACUGGUCCCAAGCAAGUCUGCAAUCUAGCAGGGCAAUUUCCAUUAAAUUUUAAGGCUAAAGAACAAUCCUCUUUGGCUUCGUGCUCUAGGCCCACUGGGGUGACCGCCCCAUCCCCUUGGCCCUGGGCAUCAAGAAGAAAACUGCCCAACCCUAUCCCAGGCCUGUGUCCUCUAGGCCUAUGGUGACAGUGGCAGCUCUGACAACCUCUGAACUUUGGUGUUAUUCUUUUCCUUACUACAGUAGAGUUCUAUUGACUUCGUUCAGAAGUCUGACAGCCUUCCUUUGCUUGUCCUGUAACUGUCCCCUCAGUCCAAGCUUGUGGCAUGCGCCAAAAUACCCAAG
rnacentral:lncRNA from 1 species